UGAAUAUAGUUUAUUAAAAUUCUAGUCUGUGAAUCUAGAGAUGAGGGCUAACCCCC
rnacentral:tRNA from 1 species